rnacentral:misc_RNA from 1 species
AAAGUCGUAACAAGGUUUCCGUAGGUGAACCUGCGGAAGGAUCAUUAUUGAAAAUCUUUGUUGGUUCUGUGGUUGAGCUGGCUUUUAACAGAGCAUGUGCUUGCUACUUGACCUUCAAAAACCUUCAUCCACCUGUGCACACUUUGUAGGGGAGAACAAGUAUUUCAUCAAAAGUAGAAGGAAUCCUUUGUGGGAUGUCUUUGAAAAGAAGUUCUUUUCUUUCCCUAUGUUUUUACACACACUAUUGAAUGUUUAGAAUGAUCAUCUUAUUGAAGAGCGUAAAAACUCUUUAAAUAAAACAUAAUACAACUUUCAGCAACGGAUCUCUUGGCUCUC